rnacentral:rRNA from 1 species
CGUAGGUGGCAAGCGUUGUCCGGAUUUACUGGGCGUAAAGGGCGUGCAGGCGGUCUGUUAAGUUCAGGGUGAAAGCUCCCGGCUCAACUGGGAGAGGUCCUUGGAUACUGGCAGACUUGAGGGAGGUAGAGGAGAGUGGAAUUCCCGGUGUAGUGGUGAUAUGCGUAGAUAUCGGGAGGAACACCAGUGGCGAAGGCGGCUCUCUGGGCCUUUCCUGACGCUGAGACGCGAAAGCGUGGGGAGCGAACCGGAUUAGAUACCCGGGUAGUCCACGCCGUAAACUAUGAACACUAGGUGUGGGGGUAUCGACCCCUCCGUGCCGAAGCUAACGCAAUAAGUGUUCCGCCUGGGGAGUACGGCCGCAAGGCUA